CACACUCCCCUCCCUCUCCCUCUCCCCGACCCAUGCGGCGCCGCCUCCCUCUCCCCGACCCAGAUCUCCCUCCCCGACCCAGACCUCCCUCUCCGCCGUCCCUACUCCUACCCCGCCGUCGGCCUCCCCCCAAGCGCCGCUACUCUUGACCUGCAACGACCUGAGCAGGAGCAGCAGCAACUUCCUCCUCCACUUCCCCUUGCUUUUGCCGCCCGCCUCCGAGCUCUUGCCUCUGCGGCUCUUCCGAAGCCACGGCCAAUAGAGCCACGACAGGCUGAGCCUCCGCCGGUGAUGCCUCUGCCACUCCGGCAAGUAUGCACUUGUGGUCUGGCCGCGCGCCGCUGCUCAGAUCGAGCGAGAGGCGAGGCAGCGCCAGAUCCAGAUUGAGCGCCGGAUCCAGGUCGAGCCACCGGAACAAGGGCCAUGGAACCGACAGCAGGCACGCCAUGGAGGAGAGGACGCCAUGGAGGGGAUGACGCCAUGGAUGUGAGGAUGCCAUGGAGGACGCAGCUCCAUCACCACCCCGACGCCAUCUCCGAGCCCCCUCCCGAUACAUCUCAUGCGAGUUUGAUGGAGGGUCAAGGACCGCACGCACAGUGGAUUAUCCAGAACGCCCAGGCCAGCCACGGUGUGAGUAGGCAUCCUCUGUGGAUGAUGACGACAACCAGGGCAUCCACCGCCACGACGACGCUCCGCACAUGGUCCAACUCGGCUACAACCUCCUCUACCACGGGACGAAGACCGUGGCCGUGUGCGGCAUCGGCUACAACCUCCUCUCAUGUGAGUUCGUCUCCUAGCUACUAGCCCCCUCUCUUGUGCUGCUAUAGGAGUACCUUGCUCUGUUUCAUGCGCAUGGGUGAUUUUGUUUGUACUUUCCGUGCUUGUGUCAUGGAAAAGACCAUUCCUAUUUACAAGUGAUGAUGAUUUGGAGUAGCACACUUGUUAAAUUCUGCUCUUGUAGUAGACCCCAUUUGUAGUUACUGUGAUGUGCAUUGACUCGGCCUCCUAGUACUGUAGAUCAUGCAUGUUAAUAAUUUAUAGUGGCCUUGUUAGUUACUACAGCUAGGCUGUGUUAACUGUUGGUGUUUAAUCUAGCUAGCUUGUUUGUACCAUCAGGAUUGCAGCAAAUUGCAUCUAGCUAGCCUGUUUGUACCAUCAGGAUUGCAUUUUUACUGUUUUACUCAACUCGUUUUCGUUGUUACUUGAUACAUACUACCUCUGUCCCAUAAUAAACCAUCAAAUGUACUCCUGGGAGGGAUAAACAUCUUUUUUAGAACAUGGGUUGAAGCAGACUGUACUUGCUUACUGAGAAUAUGAAAAUGGGAUAUUCUGUUUGCUAAUAUGAAGAUAGCAUUGUGUUUAAUCCAGUACUGAUGAUUGUUUUCAUUCCCAUAUAAACUUGUUAAUGAUGGUGAUUUUGUACUAGCAUAUAAACUUGUUUUUGUUUUCACUUGAUACAUACUUAGCUUGUACUUGAAGUUGUGGGUUAAUGCUGGUAAUUUUGUUCUCUUGUAUGCAUUGGUACCCCCAUCAUGGUCGUGUGCAUCAUCAAGCACACCAUGGCGAGCAUCCACCUCCUCACAUUGGCAAGAAGAGCAGGUGCCUAGUUUGUAAUCGCUGUCGAAGGAGCUCCAUGCUGAAGAACAUAACACUUGUAGAUCUUGUAAAUUACCAUGUUAUUGAACUUGUGGAGCAUGUAACUGUGACUCCAUACUGAUGUUACACUUGUAGAGCUUGCAAAGUGUAUGUUAGAGCUUAUUGCGUGUUAUUUGUACAGCAGCAGCUCUGUAUUGACUCUGGCUGAUAAUAUUUGAAGUAUUUUGUGUGCUUUCUGUGUGCC
rnacentral:rRNA from 1 species